UUUCUCUUCUACUGUUUCAAUAAGCAAAACCAAAAGUAUAAAUAUAUUGACAAAUUUCCUGUAAACGAAAAGAAAA